rnacentral:rRNA from 1 species
UACGGAGGGGGCUAGCGUUGUUCGGAAUUACUGGGCGUAAAGCGCACGUAGGCGGAUAUUUAAGUCAGGGGUGAAAUCCCGGGGCUCAACCCCGGAACUGCCUUUGAUACUGGGUAUCUGGAGGUCGAGAGAGGCGAGUGGAAUUCCGAGUGUAGAGGUGAAAUUCGUAGAUAUUCGGAGGAACACCAGUGGCGAAGGCGGCUCGCUGGACCUUCACUGACGCUGAGGCGCGAAAGCCAGGGGAGCGAACGGG